GGGGAAUCUUCGGCAAUGGGCGCAAGCCUGACCGAGCCAUGCCGCGUGAGCGAUGAAGGCCUUAGGGUUGUAAAGCUCUUUCGCCAGGGAUGAUAAUGACAGUACCUGGUAAAGAAACCCCGGCUAACUCCGUGCCAGCAGCCGCGGUAAUACGGAGGGGGUUAGCGUUGUUCGGAAUUACUGGGCGUAAAGCGCGCGUAGGCGGAUUGGAAAGUUGGGGGUGAAAUCCCGGGGCUCAACCUCGGAACUGCCUCCAAAACUCCCAGUCUUGAGUUCGAGAGAGGUGAGUGGAACUCCGAGUGUAGAGGUGAAAUUCGUAGAUAUUCGGAAGAACACCAGUGGCGAAGGCGGCUCACUGGCUCGAUACUGACGCUGAGGUGCGAAAGUGUGGGGAGCAAAC
rnacentral:rRNA from 1 species